CACUCCUACGGGAGGCAGCAGUGGGGAAUUUUGGACAAUGGGCGAAAGCCUGAUCCAGCAAUGCCGCGUGAGUGAAGAAGGCCUUCGGGUUGUAAAGCUCUUUUGUCAGGGAAGAAACGGUGAGAGCUAAUAUCUUUUGCUAAUGACGGUACCUGAAGAAUAAGCACCGGCUAACUACGUGCCAGCAGCCGCGGUAAUACGUAGGGUGCAAGCGUUAAUCGGAAUUACUGGGCGUAAAGCGUGCGCAGGCGGUUUUGUAAGUCUGAUGUGAAAUCCCCGGGCUCAACCUGGGAAUUGCAUUGGAGACUGCAAGGCUAGAAUCUGGCAGAGGGGGGUAGAAUUCCACGUGUAGCAGUGAAAUGCGUAGAUAUGUGGAGGAACACCGAUGGCGAAGGCAGCCCCCUGGGUCAAGAUUGACGCUCAUGCACGAAAGCGUGGGGAGCAAACAGGAUUAGAAACCCGAGUAGUCCCAUGAU
rnacentral:rRNA from 1 species